rnacentral:lncRNA from 1 species
AUCAGAUAUAAUCAUUAUUCCAUGCUAGUAAUGAUUUUUUUUUCCCCCCAACUCAGAUAUAUGAGCUGGGCUCUACAUACUUCAGGAACCUUUGGAAAAUGCUGCAUAUUUGUGUUUCAGCUGUGAGAUAUCUUCAGCUUCCAGACAUUUCCACUGCUGGAGCUGCUCUUGCCGUGGACUAAUGAAGACAUCACAGGGAGUGAACCACAAGACACUCGUGUCUGGAAGACAAACAUCAGCCUGGGUGAUAUGCAAGCUAGCAAAUACCAGAAAGAAUUUGGAGUAAAGAAGUUUUGGGCCUUGUUUAAAUUGUUUCUGCUGACAAGGUUUACCAUUCCUCAGCCUGAAUACGUAUCCAUUAUUGGGUUUUGUGUGAAGGAGCUGACGUUUACCAAGGUUGCUACUGUUACUAUCACAACAGAAGAAGGAACAGCUGCAGCAAACAGGUUAGACCUGUGCCUUCCAAUGAUCCAUUAACAUGAUGGAGCCAAGAUGCAUGGUGAUGGACUCCAGGUACCAGGGCCAUGGUGGGGUAAAGAAAGGUGAGGGGAGGAAGGAAUGGCAGAGUGGGGCUGUUAGGGACUGUUACCUGCAUUCCUCUGCUCCCUGUACUACUCAGUGGUGAGAGGAAUCAGGAAGGAAGGUGUGGUGCUGCACCAGAGAAGAAGCAGGAGGUGGGUGUUAAUUUUUGUUUGUGUUUCUCACCAUCCAACUCUAUUCUAAUUUGCAAUAAAUUGAAUUAAUUUUCCA